rnacentral:rRNA from 1 species
UUGGAGAAGUUUGAUCCUGGCUCAGGAUGAACGCUGGCGGCGUGCUUAACACAUGCAAGUCGAACGGGAUCCCGGGGGUUCGCUUCCGGGUGAGAGUGGCGAACGGGUGAGUAAUGCGUGACCGACCUGCCCCAUACACCGGAAUAGCUCCUGGAAACGGGUGGUAAUGCCGGAUGCUCCGGUUGGAUGCAUGUCCUUCCGGGAAAGAUUCUAUCGGUAUGGGAUGGGGUCGCGUCCUAUCAGCUUGAUGGCGGGGUAACGGCCCACCAUGGCUUCGACGGGUAGCCGGCCUGAGAGGGCGACCGGCCACAUUGGGACUGAGAUACGGCCCAGACUCCUACGGGAGGCAGCAGUGGGGAAUAUUGCACAAUGGGCGCAAGCCUGAUGCAGCGACGCCGCGUGCGGGAUGGAGGCCUUCGGGUUGUAAACCGCUUUUGAUCGGGAGCAAGCCCUUCGGGGUGAGUGUACCUUUCGAAUAAGCACCGGCUAACUACGUGCCAGCAGCCGCGGUAAUAA